rnacentral:rRNA from 1 species
UACGUAGGGUGCGAGCGUUAAUCGGAAUUACUGGGCGUAAAGCGUGCGCAGGCGGUUUUGUAAGCCGGAUGUGAAAUCCCCGGGCUUAACCUGGGAAUGGCAUUCGGGACUGCAAGGCUGGAGUGCGGCAGAGGGAGACUGGAAUUCCUGGUGUAGCAGUGAAAUGCGUAGAUAUCAGGAGGAACACCGAUGGCGAAGGCAGGUCUCCUGGGCUGACACUGACGCUCAUGCACGAAAGCGUGGGGAGC